UACGAGUGGUGCAAGCGUUAUUCGGAAUAAUUGGGCGUAAAGGGUGCGCAGGCGGUAUGCUAAGUCAACUGUUAAAUAUCUCAGCCUAACUGAGAAAAUGCAGUAGAUACUGGCGUACUAGAGAGUGGAAGAGAGAAGUGGAAUUCUUGGAGUAGCGGUAAAAUGCGUAGAUCUCAAGAGGAACAUCGAUGGCGAAGGCAGCUUCUUGGUCCAUUUCUGACGCUCAUGCACGAAAGCGUGGGGAGCAAACAGG
rnacentral:rRNA from 1 species